rnacentral:sRNA from 1 species
AAAGAACUCUCCUUCAUCUACAACAGUCGUAGGCUAUGUCUAGCUGCUGUACCGAUAUUACAGAGAAUUUGGUUAUUCUAUGCCUAAAAAAUAUACAUUUCUAUGUAGCCUGUGUGUUCUCUAUUUUCUUAAUUUGUUUUCUGUUUGAGAUCACUGUAAAUAAUUAACAAAAUAUAAAGACAAUUUUUUUUCCAGGUCUGAGAAUGAAUAAAGGUGCCAUCACCCCUCCCCGGACUACUUCUCCUGCAAAUACGUGUUCCCCAGAAGUAAUCCACCUGAAGGACAUUGUCUGUUACCUGUCUCUGCUUGAAAGAGGAAGACCUGAGGAUAAGCUUGAGUUUAUGUUUCGCCUUUAUGACACGGAUGGGAAUGGCUUCCUGGACAGCUCGGAGCUAGAAAAUAUCAUCAGUCAGAUGAUGCAUGUUGCAGAAUACCUUGAGUGGGAUGUCACUGAGCUUAAUCCAAUCCUCCAUGAAAUGAUGGAAGAAAUUGACUAUGAUCAUGAUGGAACCGUGUCUCUGGAGGAAUGGAUUCAAGGAGGAAUGACAACGAUUCCACUUCUUGUGCUCCUGGGCUUAGAAA